rnacentral:rRNA from 2 species
UCCGUAGGUGAACCUGCGGAAGGAUCAUUAAAUAAUCAAUAAUCUUGGCUUGUCCAUUAUUAUCUAUUUACUGUGAACUGUAUUAUUAUUUGACGUUUGAGGGAUGUUCCAAUGUUAUAAGGAUAGACAUUGGAGAUGUUAACCGAGUCAUAAUCAGGUUUAGGCCUGGUAUCCUAUUAUUAUUUACCAAAUGAAUUCAGAAUUAAUAUUGUAACAUAGACCUAAAAAAUCUAUAAAACAACUUUUAACAACGGAUCUCUUGGUUCUCGCAUCGAUGAAGAACGUAGCAAAGUGCGAUAACUAGUGUGAAUUGCAUAUUCAGUGAAUCAUCGAGUCUUUGAACGCAACUUGCGCUCAUUGGUAUUCCAAUGAGCACGCCUGUUUCAGUAUCAAAACAAACCCUCUAUCCAACUUUUGUUGUAUAGGAUUAUUGGGGGCCUCUCGAUCUGUAUAGAUCUUGAAACCCUUGAAAUUUACUAAGGCCUGAACUUGUUUAAUGCCUGAACUUUUUUUUAAUAUAAAGGAAAGCUCUUGUAAUUGACUUUGAUGGGGCCUCCCAAAUAAAUCUUUUUUAAAUUUGAUCUGAAAUCAGGUGGGAUUACCCGCUGAACUUAAGCAUAUCAAUAAGCGGAGGA